rnacentral:tRNA from 1 species
AGAAACUUAGGAUAACCCCAAAACCGAAGGCCUUCAAAGCCUUAAAUAAGAGUUAAACCCUCUUAGUUUCUG